GCAAAGACAGCCUGGCCAAAGCAGA
rnacentral:piRNA from 1 species